UACGUAGGAGGCAAGCGUUGUCCGGAAUUACUGGGCGUAAAGCGCGUGUAGGUGGUGGGACAAGUCUGCUGUGAAAGCGCCUGGCUUAACCGGGCGAGGUCGGCGGAAACUGUCCGACUCGAGGACGGUAGAGGGGGGUGGAAUUCCCGGUGUAGUGGUGAAAUGCGGAGAGAUCGGGAGGAACACCUGUGGCGAAGGCGGCCCCCUGGGCCGGCCAUGACACUGAGACGCGAAGGCGUGGGGAGCGAACGGG
rnacentral:rRNA from 1 species